GGGCCCGCACAAGCGGUGGAGCAUGUGGUUUAAUUCGAUGAUACGCGAGGAACCUUACCAGGGCUUAAAUGUAAGUUGCAUGGAUCAGAGAUGGUCCUUUCUUCGGACUACUUACAAGGUGCUGCAUGGUUGUCGUCAGCUCGUGCCGUGAGGUGUCAGGUUAAGUCCUAUAACGAGCGCAACCCCUAUUGUUAGUUGCCAGCGGGUCAAGCCGGGUACUCUAGCGAGACUGCCGGUGCAAACCGAGAGGAAGGUGGGGACGACAUCAAAUCAUCACGGCCCUUACGUCCUGGGCUACACACGUGCUACAAUGGCCGGUACAGAGAGCAGCCACCCCGCGAGGGGCGCGAAUCUAUAAAGCCGGUCUCAGUUCGGAUCGCAGUCUGCAACUCGACUGCGUGAAGCUGGAAUCGCUAGUAA
rnacentral:rRNA from 1 species